rnacentral:rRNA from 1 species
UCAUGGCUCAAAUUGAACGCNGGCGGCAUGCCUUACACAUGCAAGUCGAACGGUAACAGGUCUUCGGACGCUGACGAGUGGCGAACGGGUGAGUAAUACAUCGGAACGUGCCCAGUCGUGGGGGAUAACUACUCGAAAGAGUAGCUAAUACCGCAUACGAUCUGAGGAUGAAAGCGGGGGACCUUCGGGCCUCGCGCGAUUGGAGCGGCCGAUGGCAGAUUAGGUAGUUGGUGGGAUAAAAGCUUACCAAGCCGACGAUCUGUAGCUGGUCUGAGAGGACGACCAGCCACACUGGGACUGAGACACGGCCCAGACUCCUACGGGAGGCAGCAGUGGGGAAUUUUGGACAAUGGGCGAAAGCCUGAUCCAGCAAUGCCGCGUGCAGGAUGAAGGCCUUCGGGUUGUAAACUGCUUUUGUACGGAACGAAAAAGCUUCUC